rnacentral:rRNA from 1 species
GUUGACCUCGGAUCAGGUAGGGAUACCCGCUGAACUUAAGCAUAUCAAUAAGCGGAGGAAAAGAAACCAACAGGGAUUGCUCUAGUAACGGCGAGUGAAGCAGCAAUAGCUCAAAUUUGAAAUCUGGCGUCUUCGACGUCCGAGUUGUAAUUUGUAGAGGAUGCUUCUGAGUAACCACCGACCUAAGUUCCUUGGAACAGGACGUCAUAGAGGGUGAGAAUCCCGUAU